UACAGAGGUCUCAAGCGUUGUUCGGAUUCAUUGGGCGUAAAGGGCGCGUAGGCUGCGGGGCAAGUCGGGUGUGAAAUCUCAGAGCUCAACUCUGAAACUGCACUCGAUACUGCUUUGCUUGAGGACUGGAGAGGAGAUUGGAAUUCACGGUGUAGCAGUGAAAUGCGUAAAUAUCGUGAGGAAGACCAGUGGCGAAGGCGGCUCACUGGUCCGGUACUGACGCUGAUGUGCGAAAGCGUGGGGAGCAAACAGG
rnacentral:rRNA from 1 species